rnacentral:lncRNA from 1 species
UUCUGUAUGUUGAACUAUCUUAAUAAUUUUUGCUUGUUUUGUUGCUUUCUCUUGACAUAUUCCUCACAUCUUCAUACGUAUGUAUCAAAUCUUCUAGAUAAUCUACUUCAAAAUUUUUACUAACUCUCUUACUGAAUUCCAUCAAGUCCUAAUCGAAUAAUAAUUCAGAUAAAAAGUUCUUCACAGUCCAUAUUAGAACAGUAUUACAGAAGGAUAUUUUUUUUAUAUAAACACAAAG